GACGAACGCUGGCGGCGUGCUUAACACAUGCAAGUCGAACGAAAAUACCAAGCUUGCUUGGUUGAUUAGUGGCGAACGGGUGAGUAACACGUGAGUAACCUGCCCCUUACUUUCCUGGAUAACUGCUCGAAAGGGUAGCUAAUACGGGAUAUUCUGACCAGCCUGCAUGGGUUGGUUUGGAAAGGUUGUUUUUCUGGUAAGGGAUGGGCUCGCGGCCUAUCAGCUUGUUGGUGGGGUGAUGGCCUACCAAGGCUUUGACGGGUAGCCGGCCUGAGAGGGUGGACGGUGACACUGGGACUGAGAUACGGCCCAGACGCCUACGGGAGGCAGCAGUGGGGAAUAUUGCACAGUGGGCGCAAGCCUGAUGCAGCGACGCCGCGUGAGGGAUGAAGGCCUUCGGGUUGUAAGCCUCUUUCGUCAGGGAACAAGGCACUGAUUUUUUGGUGGUGUUGAGGGUACCUGGAUAAGAAGCGCCGGCUAACUACGUG
rnacentral:rRNA from 1 species